rnacentral:rRNA from 1 species
GACGGAGGGCGCGAGCGUUGUUCGGAAUCACUGGGCGUAAAGCGCGCGCAGGCGGACCGUACAAGUCGGAAGUGAAAUCCCGGGGCUCAACUCCGGGACUGCUUCCGAAACUGUCGGUCUGGAGACCGGUAGAGGUGGGUGGAAUUCCCGGUGUAGCGGUGGAAUGCGUAGAGAUCGGGAAGAACACCUGUGGCGAAGGCGGCCCACUGGGCCGGUUCUGACGCUGAGGCGCGAAAGCGUGGGGAGCAAACAGGAUUAGAAACCCCCGUAGUCC